GGGACCUCUGUGUGUGACUUCCAGAUUCUUGCAGAGAAAUGAGGCAUCAAGCCAGAAGCUCAGUUAGUUUUACAGCAUCACCGUCAGGAACUUUUUUUUUUUUUAAGGACCUGACUGUGUGUGCUGUAUGUCUCACUGUUUUAAGAGCUUUCUCUGACACCGAGGACAGUCAUUGCCUGCCCUCAAGGAGAUUGAAGUUUAAGUCAGACAACUUUGAAACCAACAGAUAAAAGGAAACCCAGACAACAGAGCCAGUAUUGAACAAGGAUGGAGAUGACUACUACAGGGAUACAAAAAGCUUCAGGGGUUAUCUGAUCAUUCUCACUUUAAUGGACAUGUCUUACCUUAGUAUUGGGCAUUAAUAAGGUAUUACAAGGUAUUUUCCAAUUAGUUUAGUCAUGGCUCCCUCUACCCCCCGAUAGUGAAUUUACUUGCUUAAGAAAAAGGAUAGUAAAAAAAAAAAAAUCUGAUGUUUUCGAGGUCCUGCUGUGUGCCAUGAACUAUGUGCUUGGUGCUGGACAUUAUGACUUGAAUCAGAGUCCCGUAUAUAUCAGUACCACUUCCUAGACCAUUUUUAACUCCAUUCCUUCUCUAGGGUUUUGUGUUAUUUUUGUCACAGGUUUUCAUUCUACAAAUAAUUAAAAUCCUCUAUGACAUUAUAGUUCCUGUUUUUUGAAGUCAGUAUGUAUUCAGAAUUCCUAACACUACCUUCCUUCUUGUUCCUUUCUGUAUUUCCUUUCUUGCGUCUGCUGGCAUUCAUUUCCUUCAGCUUGAAAAACUGCCUCUGAUAUUUCUUAUAAUACAGAUCUGAUGGUCACAGAUUCUCCCAGUGUUUUGGUCUGAAAAUGCCUUCAGUUCAUCUUCCUUUCUGAAGGACCCUUUUUGUAGUUUAUUGAAUUCCAGGCUGGCAGUUACUUUCUUUUUGUACUUUAACAGUGUUGCAUUAUUGCUUCUGUCCUUUCUGGUGAAGAAUCAUCUGUGCAGCUAGUACUGUUCCCUUUUAAAGUAAUAAUGUCUGUUUCUUCUGGCUGCUUUUACAAUUUUCACAUUGUAUUUUGCUUUCAGCAGUUUAAUUAUUCCCAUCCAAAAGCGUAAUUGUCUUUGUAUUUAUUCUGCUUGGUGUUCAUAUGACUUCUCGAAUCUGUGCUGGAGCUUUCAUCAAUUUUAGCAAAUUCUUAGCCCUUAUGUCUCCAAAUAUGACUUCUGUCCCAUUCUCUUUUCUCUCCUUCAGAGAGACUCCAACUAUAUAUAUUUUUGAGCUUUUCGCUACACCUCACAUGUCUUUUAAGCUUCCUUCUAUAUUUCCCAUCCUUUUUGUUGUACUUCAGUCUGAAUGGUGUGCAGUGCCUGCUUCAUGUGCAGUGGACCUCUGUUCAUCUGUGCCCAGUUAGCUCUUCACCCCAUGUAUUCAGUUCUCAAUUUCAGUUAUUCUACAUUUUAGUAUAGAUAUCCCAAUAGUAAAGUCUAGGUCUCUGUUAAAAUUCUUCAUCUUGUCAUUGGUUUUCUUGAAUAUAUGCAUCCAGGUCUUUCAAAGUCUUUGCCUCCUAACUCAGUAUAUGCAUCACUUAUUUUUCUCUUGAUAUGCCUGGUAAUUUUUUAUGAAUUCUGGGCAUUGCAUAUAAAAACUCACAGAGGCUCUGGAGGAGGUUUUCUUCCUCCAGAGAAGGAUUGGUUUUGGCAAGGGGCAAAUCACUUUCAUCCAAUUAGGGAUAGAGCUGUUUUGCUGCUGAGUUUCAGUGUCUAUAAAAGCAUUGUCUAUUUCUACUUCAUCAUUAUUUUUAUAGCAUAAACCUUCAAGGGUCCCAUUUGAACAUCUUUUUAUCUUUAGGAGACUCUGAACUCCAGUUUCUAUCUUCCCAGUGCCAUGAAAGUGUCAGGAGUCCUGCUUGGCUUCUUAGCUUUGCAGCCACCACCUUUUGCUUGAUGUCUCAGCCUUUUCUUUUGCACUGAAUUGGCAAAUGCCUCAAGAGGAAAAGUGGUAUUGAAACUCAGGUUUACAUUUACCUUCUCUCUGGAAUCUCAGCCAUUCAGGUGCUUGCUUUGGUAGUUGCCCUCUGAUGACUUCAGCAGAUUUAAAAUAAAACUUUCUCCAUCCUUUGUAGUUGUCCUUGGCAGGAGAGUUCUUCUGAUACAAACUAAUCAGUCAUAGCUAGAAACCAGCAAUUUAAUUUUUAGAAGUUAUUUCCAACAAAUCAUGGUAGCCAUAUAGAUACCCCUGACCAGAGAGAAUUCUGGUUUUGGGAAAUCGGAAUCCUUAUUAUUCUCUAACUCAAUAAUUGCUACCUAACGUAAUUUCCUUGACUGUAAGACAGUUGAGUAGGAAAGAAUAGACACUGGUCUCUAGCUGGUCACAUGGGAAGUGCUCUUUCUUAUCAGCCACACAUCUACUACCCAUUUCACAGGUGAGUGCUGACAGUGUCUUUUAUAUCUUAUUAUAUAACACUGCAUCACACUGUAACUAUUUGUUUACUCGUCCCAUCUCCUCUGCUUGACUGGAAGCUGGAAAUAUGCUGUAUUUACCUUUAUAUUUUUAGUGUCUACCACAGUGUCUGACAUUUAGAAGUUGUUCAGCAGAUGCUUUUAGAAUAAAAGGUUCUUGUAGGUAAGGUUAUUUAUAUAAAUGGAUAGUAUCCAUUAAAUUUUCAUUAGUAGUGUCUGAAUUCAGAAAGGUGGGGUUUUUGUGGGGUUUUUGUUUUGUUUUUUUGUUUUGUUUUCUUUUGUUUUUGCCUCUGACCAUGCCCCACAUUUUGGGUAAAUACCUUACCUAGAGUCUGUAUUUGAUCCCCAUGAACUGAAAACAUUCAGGGAGAUUCUCAUGUUCCCUGGGUGUUGGGACAGUGGAAUAGACCUGACAAAAUCCAAGAAGGAAAGAACCCAAUAACACAGACAUUAUUAAAAGGCUGUCAGGAGAUUAGUGCUCACCUUUGCCAGCAUCCCAGGAAAGUUUUUAAAAUUUAGAAUAGAAUAAAAUGUAGCAUGGGACAAAUAAGGAAUGCCAUACUCUCCUGGAAUCAUGAUCUAUCUAGCCCAAAGCUCUGAUUCUGCCUCCAGCAAACUUCCUUCUAUACUAGUGCUUCCUUCAUUUUUUAUUGGCUUAAGACAUGCAUGGAAACAGUUGGGUUUUGUUUGAAUCAGGUAUAUAUUUCUUCUAUAUUAUUAAAACUUAAAAUAUAGUCCUAUUAAAUAAUCUGUUACUCAAACUAUUCUGUACAAAUGAAUACCUCACAUACUUUGCUUUCAUUUCAGGUGACAAGUAUCUGAAUUCCACUAAAUGUAUAGUUCAAAUCUUUCUUCCUGUCUAGCAUUUGGUAUUUCCAAUAACUUGAACCAACAGAGAUGCUAGUAACAUUUGCAUGGAUUCCUUUUACUGAUUUUCAUAUGCCCCAGAAAUGUACCAUUCCAUGUUAAAAAGGUGGAAAUCCAAAGAAUUCUUACCUUUAUUCCCUAACAUUGCCUAGCUACAUCAUACUACCAGUCAGUGCUAUGUGUUUCCUACCUAACAUACCUAAAUCAAAACCAAAUGAAAUGUCUUCGUGAGACUCUUCUUAAAAUUAUGGAAAUAAAAAAUGUAUUUCUGUAAUUCCAGCUUCUGUUAAUGAUGGAAUAGCUCAGUCAUCCAAGGGUAAUAAUGAUGAAAUCUGGACCAUUUGGAAGUAUUGGAGAAUAACCAGAAGCAGGCAGAAACUGAAUAAAUCUAAACUUGAAAGACAAUGUCUGACAUUUGUUCAUGGAUUUUUGCUGGAGGGCAUUCUCCAGUCUUGGGUCAAGGACACAAACAGAAGGAUGGAGUCAAGACCAACAGAACAACCAGAAAAUUAGAGGGGAAGGAAAAAAAAACAGUAAAAAAAAAAAAAUACUGUAUGUGUGAAGAAAUAGGAAAAUGUGAUACUUAGGGAAAAAAUGCCAAUAGAAACAGACCCUGAGGUGACACAGCUAUCACAAUUAGCAAGCAGUAACUUAAGGCAGCUAUUAUAAAUAUGUUCAAGAACCUAAAGGAAGAUAAACACACAAUGAAUUCACAUAUGAGGAAUUGCAGCAGAGAAAUAGAAACUAUAAAAGGACCAAAUGGAAAUUCCAAAGCUGAAAAGUACAAUUAACUGGAAUGAAGAAUUUACUGAAUGAGCUUAACAGCAGAUCGAAGACAACAGAAGAAAGAAUCAGGGAACUAGAAGAUCAAUAGAAAUUAUCCAGUCUGAAGAACAGAAAGAAAACACGUAUCUUAGAUGAGGGCAGGAAAUAAAAGUAGAGCAGAAUUGAAAUGCUCAGUGCUAAUAAAUUCUAGCAACUAAUUCUGCAAAGAAAAAAAUUUAAAAAUAAACAAAACCUGGAUUUUGAAUGUCUGAUCCAUGUAGUGUUUUUUCAAGGGUGAGAGGGAACGUAUUAUCUGAUUUCAAAACAGUGAGUUUUUGUUGGCUUUCAUGAGAUUAGUCCUCUCAUGUGGCCAUAGGUUUCUUAGCUCUCUGUUCUCUUCUUCUUCCUUUCCUCCCCCAUUCCUUCCAGUGGCCAAUGGCCUUUUUCUUCUGUGUGCUCUCUUCAGGAACCAGUUAAUUAUGAAAUGGAAGACGAUUUCAGACAUGGACCAAGGCAAAGGAAGCCUGUGAGAUAGGUGUUUCACCAAAACUAACAGCACUUUCAGUGGCAGCCCGCUUCCUGUGGUCCCAGUGGUAGCACCUUAUCCUCAGGAUGGUUUGGAAAUGAAGCCCCUCAGUCACAUGAAGAUGCCCGCAUGUCUGGCUUCCACAGUCCCCGACUGUGGCCAGUCACCUGAGGAGAGUUUCAAAGAUGACACGGCACCGAGACCUGCUCAGCACACUUGCUGUCAGGACAGUAAGAAUGAGAUCAACUCUGAGUGCACAGAAGAUACAGCACAGUUCAACAGAGGAGACAGCUGUGUCCAUUCAGAAACCGAGAACAAAAUUUUAAGUUGGAAUCCUCUUAUUCUGCCCCUUGUGUCCAAGGACUGUACUGAAAAGACCACCUGGUCUCCUCCUGGCAUUCCUUUAGACAGCCCUGCAGGGAUCCUUCAGCAACCCCAAGAAACCUGAGGGUGUGCAAAUGACCAGUCAUGUUCCCACUUCAAGCCAGUAACUGCACAAAACAGGCCUGGGGAUGGACUGUGUGAAGGACAUGAACUCAAGUCAGAGAAAAUCAUUAUUUAUUUUUUGUAGUAGUAAUGUCCUGUGAAUGUAUCUUAAAGUGUGUGCCCUUUUAUAUUAUUUAUGCCUUAAAAUUUCCCUCUUCCUUCCUCCCCCUCAGUAGGAAACAACCUAAUUUUGCGUAGUUUUCAAUCAUCUGAGAGCGGUGGGAUCAUUCCAUGUUUCUGAGAACCUCAGUGGCCAUAAGAGCUCCUCCUGCAAGGAUCCAGCCUAUUGGCCCAUUUGGCUAAGAGGGAACUGAAGUUUUCAGAUGGAAAGCUGUCCUUUGACGUAUUGUGUUAUCAGACUUUGUGAGAACAUUGGAAGUCACGCUCAGUUGUAACCUAGUGUUUGUAAUAGCAGGUGUCUUAUGAAUUGUAUGAGUGCCUUCCAAAGAAGUGAUAGGUGACUUGUUGACUCUCUGUCUGCACACGGGCACAAAUGAUGUUCGGUUUUCUAGGCACUAGUCACAGACGGUGUCAUGAACAUGGUUGAGGUUAAGGUCUGUGGGGUUAUUGCCGUAUGCAGAUAGGGGACCAUGGCUGGAGAGAAAAAGAUAGCCCUCAGGUCCCACUGCAUUAAAAUUGGAUUGGUUUAUUAGAUUGUCACUCUAGGGCUCUUUCUGACUGUUUCUAAGAGUGGGACAAAAUGAAUUUAAAGUGGCGACUUGGAAAGAAAGACCCACAUUGUGCUCCUGGUGUCACGCCACCCGAAAAUUAUUAUUUUUCAAGCUUCCAACAUGGGCAACACUUGGAAGAUGUGAGUGUCAGAAAAGAUUUAAUUUGGAGGGAAAGGGGUAUGGUUUGAAAUUUCCUGACUUUUUUUAGAAUGUCGUCAUUGUAAACACACACCUGAAGCUUUGGUUAGCAGAGCCCAUAAAUCACAGUUACGGCUCCUUCUGAGUGACAAGGACAUUUGCAGCUGCCUUUGGAAGGCUUUUCUUCUCCACAUCCAAAAAAAAAAAAAAAAACCCACGAGAAAACACUACUCCUAUUUAAUAGCUAUUUUAAUAGCUUAAGUCAAGCUUCAGUAGAUCACUGCUUGUUUUUGGAUUGUGCAUCCCUUUGGGGAAAAAAUUAGAAAAUGAUUCUCUUUAUGUAGAGUCAGGCAGUUUCAGCAUAAAUGAAAAAAAAACAGUUUCCUGGAAACUGCAGUGAAAUAGACUAGAAUACUAUGUUAAUCAACUGUUUGUGUAAAUGCAUCAGUAUCCCCUUAUAUAUGCCUACGUAUCUUAUAAAUAGAGCUGUUAGUGAAAUACGCUGUUUGAGCUGGGUCACUAUGCAAGAAUGACUUUGAGUAGAAUGUAGUGAGUAUAAUUUCAGGGUCAGGUGUUAGGGAUGCUGUAGAAUCAAGUUCUGCAUUCCCAAUGUCCAUACUUAGAGUAUACUGAAUUUAUUCUUCAUGUGGUGUAGAUGCAAUUAGCUUUGGAGGGGGAUAGCUGCAUCCCUUACUUGUGUGACUAACAAAGGACAGAGUCCUCCUAGUGCACAGAAUAUGAAAACAUACCCUGUGUUUUGCCAACCAAGAUACAGCCAUGCUGUCACAAAGGGGGUUUUAGAAAACUGGGGAGUAGAUAUUUGUGGGCAGUCAUUUUGAUUCAGGAAACAGAGGUGUACUAGCAUGAGCCUUAGGUCAUAAACUGCUUUUAAAGAUUGAGUUUGACUAUGGGAUUUGUCCACUAGGAAGAGAAGACGACUUUAUCUUUAGGGCAAUCUCAUUGUGGACUGCUUUUAUUUAUAUUAUUAGUAACGCUGUUUUAAGUGUUAUCCCUUUUAUUGUAUUUUAUUUAUAAAAAAUGCCUUUAUAUAUUGAGACAUAUAAAUAUAAAUAUAUGAAUAUAUAUAUAUAAUUGCCUUACCGUUUAGGAGUUAUGCAUUCUCCCUAACCUUGAGUUGUUCGGAACUUGUAUGACCUACACGGUCACCAACAGUCCUGCCUGGUGUCGCUUCCCCAGGAAGUCAGGACACAGCAGCAUCUGCGGUGUGACCGCUAUAUACCAGGCUCCGUGCUCGGUGCUGCUCUCUGCUAUCUCGUUAACCCUCCCAACAAAUCUCCAACACGGUCCCCCCACCACAGAGCCUGCCUUUCAACCCGAUUUACCCGGAGCCGUAAUCUGGGCUCCUUCCAGUUUUCCAGACUGCUUUCCAAAAGCAUGCGGUUCCCUCUUGCGAUGGAACCAGCCCAGUCCCGCACGCUCUCGCCCUCCCCUGCCGCGUGGUUCCUCUGACCGUGACCCCGAAGCCCAGAAGGUACCCUCCGUCCCACGUGGGCAGAGCUCCGUGCUUAUCACUUGGUCUUCCCAGAGUCCCCGUGUCUCCCAGUGAAAGCCCUCACCACCACCACCCCACGCCUGGGAACGGGAUCGUCCCUGGGCUUAGUGAGCACGUCAUUGGUCAGGCCUCUUCGUGUUCCUUCCCGUCUUAGAAUUCUCUGUGGUUCUUUGUUUUAGCGUCAAACUCCGCCCCCGCUCCUGGUGUAUCAUUUCACUGUGUCCUUUUCCACUAGGUACCGAUAGUCGGCUGAUAGGUGCCGUACAGGAUGUAAGUGAACUUGCAAUGUUUAAACACCUUGUGAAGUGGUCUUUUACAAAAGCAUUUCUUUCUGGGCUUUGUGUUUGUGCAGUGAGUCUGUGAAGACCAGUACAUCUGUAUUAGGCUGACCAUGUCACAGAGAGCUCAUUCCAGGUAGAGUACUGCCAGGAACUUGACCUCAUGGCUGGAUUCCACCUGUGUUGCUUUGUUUUUUUUAAAGUAAUGGCUUUGAGAUGCAUGUUUUUGUAUCCUAUUGAAAAGUGUGUUUUAUUUUCCUGAAAGUUGUAAUGUUAUGUUUGGAACUGUACAUAUUUUAAAUGAUGUAGCGUUGACAGGUUUUAUCUGGUUGAUAUGACUUUAUAUUAAAAGAGAAUGCUGCUUUCCUGUAGAGUAGCACGUGAAGAUGGGGACCGUCAGAUACUCCCUGUUUGUAGAAAGCUGCUUAUAGCUUGUGGUCGGGGUAGGUGUAUGUCUUCCUUGGAAAUUCUUUGGAACCGCCAUCCCCGUCCUCCCCUGAAAAUCCCCAUCGCACGAGCCACAUGAGUUAAUCCCUUCUGUUCUGACCGCAGAGAUCCAGGCCCUGAAGGAACAGGAUCUAGGCCAGCAAGUGUUUUAUGGGGAGGCUGGGAGAAUACCUGAGCCCAGGUGCCCACGCAGGCAGACCCCUCCUUGGGGGGGGGGGAGGGGGCGGACAACUCUAUCUCUUUGGAAGGAAGAGAGGAGGGACGGAGAGCAGCCUGAGGAGCAUGGGGAGGAGUGGGCCCUUCUGGCCUGCUGUCUAUGUUUACCAUUCACUUGGAGCAACAUCUGUGUGAACUCCUGGGCAGACAUUUAGCCUCCUCAAGAAAAGCAGCCCUAAAAAAAAAAAAAAAAAAAAAAAAUCAAAGUGUCUUGGCUGCUUUGACCAGACAGCCAACAGGGUCUUCGGCAUGGGGUGGGGCCUUGUUAUAUUUCAUUCCCCAUGUUGAACUAAGCCUCCCUUAAACCUUAGCUCCAGUCCUGAGCACCUUGAGAGAACUUGAAAUCCCUUUUCUAAUAAAGUCUGAAUCUGUGAGAACCUGA